GUCUGGGUUUAUGGGGUUCUUUCCUUCUUCUGCUCCUUUUGUUCCCCCUGUACGCGCCAGUGCAGUCCCAGUCGGGUCCCGACGGAGUAGCCAUGGAAGCUCUGCGCAAAAGCAUCGGCCCAAACAGUCUGGGAUGGUCCGGCUCCGAUUACUGUAAAUGGAGCAAAGUGAGUUGCACAAGCGACAACAAGGUCUUCAAGAUCCAAAUAGGGAACCAAAAACUCACCGGCUCACUUCCAACGGAACUCCAAAAGCUCGCAUAUUUGCAACAAUUGGAAGUUCAGUCCAACCAACUCACCGGGCCCUUCCCAAGCCUUUCUGGGCUGCCUUCGCUUCAGGUCCUUCUCGCCCACAACAACAACUUCAGUUCCUUCCCCCCAGAUUUCUUCAAAGUGAAAAACCCUUUUCAGCUUUUCUUGGCUUCUAACUUCAUGUGGCUCCUACCCCAAGAAAAUCAAUGAAUGGUGGUGGAAGGGUCUCAUGGUGGCUGCCACCAACUCUGUCCUCAUCUGCAGCAGUAGCAGCUGAUGGUGAGGGUUUGCUGGCUGAAACUUGACGUGGUGAUGCUGAUACUGAUGAAUCUGAGUAACUGUGAAGAAGGUUGUGGUAGUUUGCCUCUUGCAUUGCCAUCAUGUAUGGUUGAUGGUGAGGAUGCAGGUUACAUAAAUGACCCUCAAUAUCACUUGAACUAUCCCAAGAUCUGCUCUGGCUCACCAUCCCCAUCACCCCCUCAUUCCUCUUGGUACCUGCAAAACACAGCCAGAGAAAGUAUUGUAACUUAUUGUGUGUAUGUGCGCGAGAGAGAGUUUUAGGCACUAGAAAGGUGACCAAUUAAGAAGGGUUGCAUUAUUCAAUGGAAAAUAGAAGUUGAGGGCUCGGAUCAACAAAGAACAAGACCUGUUGCAUUAUUCAAAUAGUCUAUUAUAUUAGUCUGAUGUUUCAUACCCCCAAUUUAUCUUUUAUAGUUAAUGUUAUAUUAGUCUGUGUUUGCAGGCUUGAGUCAUUGGGUAUUAUUGUUGGAAUUAUUUUCUUGGUCUUGGGAAUCUUAUUCCAGUUUUUCAACUUCACUGCAGAUUCAAAUCUGUUGAAAGGUUUGCUCAUGAGGACAAGGGUGAUUUUGCAACUUCACUAAAGCAUUUUAGAGUCAAAACCUCUACAGAGGAGUAGAAAGAAUGUAAGCCACCUGUACAGCAGAGCUAGCAAGACCUAGAUCCCCUUCCACCACCCAGUACCAUAUAUAUAAACACCUGCCCAAACUCUUUUGAACAAUGAGCAACUAAAGGUUGCCCAUAUUUUGAUGUUUUUAUAACUGCUUGAUCUAUUAAAAUAUGCCCAAUAUUUUCACAUAACAAGUAGCACAUAAAACAUGUUAUUAGUUUAUUUUUUGUAA